GACGAACGCUGGCGGCGUGCUUAACACAUGCAAGUCGAACGGAAAGGCCCUGCUUUUGUGGGGUGCUCGAGUGGCGAACGGGUGAGUAACACGUGAGUAACCUGCCCUUGACUUUGGGAUAACUUCAGGAAACUGGGGCUAAUACCGGAUAGGAGCUCCUGCUGCAUGGUGGGGGUUGGAAAGUUUCGGCGGUUGGGGAUGGACUCGCGGCUUAUCAGCUUGUUGGUGGGGUAGUGGCUUACCAAGGCUUUGACGGGUAGCCGGCCUGAGAGGGUGACCGGACACAUUGGGACUGAGAUACGGCCCAGCCUCCUACGGGAGGCAGAAGUGGGGAAUAUUGCACAAUGGGCGGAAGCCUGAUGCAGCAACGCCGCGUGCGGGAUGACGGCCUUCGGGUUGUAAACCGCUUUCGCCUGUGACGAAGCGUGAGUGACGGUAAUGGGUAAAGAAGCACCGGCUAACUACGUG
rnacentral:rRNA from 1 species